GGCGAUAUGCUUGCCUUCGAACGUGAUAGGGAAUCCCCCCUCUCGUCUUCCCCUAUCACUAUAAAGUGCUCACGACUCCCGUCGUCUUCCCCUCAUCCUAACAUUGCCUUCGAGAUGAGUUACUACCCCCAGCAGCAGCUGGCUCCUCCUCAAGAGCAGGUCCAUCCGCCGACUAAUGACGCGCUUCCGCCGGCGGGCUAUCCGAGCAGGGACGGUGCUGUGAAUUCACAACAAGUUCCCGUCGAGACCAAGAGCCGUGGCGGUAGCUUCUGGAGAGGAUGCUUCGCGGGCUGGUGUUGCUGCUGCUGUCUCGACAUGUGCUGCUGAGGAAAGUAGACGGAGAUCUAUAUUAUUAUUGUAUGAUGAUGGAAUUGCUGUUAUUGCCAAUUAUAUGUUGCAUGAGACAUUGUUUAUUUGAUUUAUUGGUUGUGGGAUUAGUCCUGUCCUUUGACUAACGAAUAAGAUGUAACAUGUUGUUGGCCUCACAGUAUCCUCGAGUGGGGUCAACAUCAUCAUCAUUCCAAGAAAUUGUAGUGGAUUAUUGAACUCC